GCAAAGGAAAGGUUUUUUUUCUGUAAGAACAAUCAGGAUGUGGGAUUCUCUGCCUGAAGAAGUGGUUUUAUCAGAGUCCAUACAGAUGUUCAAACAGCUACUAGAUGCAUACUUGCAAAAACAGAAUAUUCAAGGAUAUAAUCUUUCAAUGUAGGGUAAUAACUUCUUGAUCCAAGGAUAAAUCUGACUGCCAUUCUGGGGUCAAGAAGGAUUUUUUUUCCUAGCUUGUUGCAAAAUUGUGCUUCAAACUGGGUUUUUUGCCUUCUUUUGGAUCAACAGCAAAAAACAAAUGUGAGGAAGGCUGAACUUGAUGGACGUAAUUCUCUUUUCAGCUAUGUAACUAUGUAACUAUAUAAUAUGUAACAUGCAAUUAAAGGGACACUAUAGUCACCUGAACAACUUUAGCU